CCAGAAUGGUGAAGGGGCGUGGCCUUGGGAACAAGGGGAAUUGUUUGGGGUGGUAAGGAAGGAAAUGUGUUUUUGUGAAGAGUAGGAGUACAAGAAUAAUGUAUAAUUUGAGCAGCAUUCAGUUUAGAGCGGUAAACAGCUCAUAGCUAAUUUCAAUGGCUGUGCUUCACUCAUACAAAGUCAACAAGGAACCCAGUGUGAUUUGAGAAGCAGAGCUAUGGGGCAAAGGACUGGAAAUCGACCCAAGGCCAGAUUUACUGAUUCCCAACACUGUGGCUGACAAGGAUAAGUCACCUGCUGAAAGCGGAUGUCCAUGUCGAAGGUCCUCCAGGUGUCAGCCGCUUCCCCCAGUAGAACAUUCUCCUCUGACUUCUGACAAGCCCAGUCAUGAUCCGGCCUCUCUCCGUGCCGCUCAUGUGGAGAACUGGUGUUUAUUGAGAGGACACCCACACAGACAUUGUGCAGCACAGCAUGCCAGGCUAAGAACUCAAUUUUAUUAGAAGGUGCUUUAAUUUUGGCCAUUGAAAGUUAAUAGAAAUUGGUUAUAAUGGGUCUGAAAAUGAUGAUGAUGUUAUAUAUAUAUAUAUAUAUAUAUAUAUAUAUAUA